rnacentral:rRNA from 1 species
UACAGAGGGUGCGAGCGUUGUCCGGAAUCACUGGGCGUAAAGGGCGCGUAGGCGGCUUGCUAAGCGUGCGGUGAAAGCCCGGGGCUCAACCCCGGGUCGGCCGUGCGAACUGUCGAGCUGGAGCACUGUAGAGGCAGGUGGAAUUCCGGGUGUAGCGGUGGAAUGCGUAGAUAUCCGGAGGAACACCAGUGGCGAAAGCGGCCACCUGGACUGCACCUGACGCUGACACGCGAAAGCUAGAGGAGCGAACGGG